UUGUAACAAGGUUUCCGUAGGUGAACCAGCGG
rnacentral:rRNA from 1 species